CAGUCGCCGCGGUAAUACAGAGGAUGCAAGCGUUAUCCGGAAUGAUUGGGUGUAAAGCGUCUGUAGGUGGCUUUUCAAGUCCGCCGUCAAAUCCCAAGGCUCAACCCUGGACAGGCGGUGGAAACUACCAAGCUGGAGUACAGUAGGGGCAGAGGGAAUUUCCGGUGGAGUGGUGAAAUGCGUUGAGAUCGGAAAGAACACCAACGGCGAAAGCACUCUGCUAGGCCGACAUUGACACUGAGAGAUGACAGCUAGGGGAGCAAAUGGGAUUAGAUACCCCAGUAGUCCCUGUCUCUUAUAA
rnacentral:rRNA from 1 species